rnacentral:pre_miRNA from 1 species
UUUAAGCGCAGCCAUGAGUUUUCGUGUCUAACUUUGAUCGUCCAUUUUAUUUAAAAUUUUUUUAUGAUUAAUAUUUUUUUAUUAUUAAAAGAUAAAACAUGAAUAAUCCUUUUUUUUAUUGUACAUGAAUAAUCCUUUAGUGGUGACUUAUGUUUUUAAUUUUUUUAAAAAAAAACCAGAUAAGAUAAACGUUUAAAGUUAGAAAAAAAAAUAUUGUUGCGCGACGG